GCAUCACUAUCAUCUUCAGAACAACCCUUUUCCCCUUUUACAUCUUCACAUGAACAGGAAAUCCUGAUGACCAUGAAAAUAAUAGUCAUAGUGAUGUGCCUGAUUGGACUGUGUUCCUCCAUUUCUGUGUCUUUGGAACAUGUUAGAGAGGAGCGCUCUUCAAGUCAUGAAGGUUACAGAGGUUAUGGAGGGUUCCGCCCCUAUCCUCAGUAUUUCCCCCAGCCUUCCCAGAGUGACACCAACCUAAUGGCCCUGCUGCCCUUACUAUUGGCAAGACGUGCACCGGUUCGUGCACCGGUUCCUGCACCGGUUCCUGCCCUACCUCCCUUACCGGCCCUACCUCCCCUACCUGCCAUACCCCCCUUUCCUGCCAUACCUCCCUUUCCUGCCAUACCUCCCUUUCCUGCGCUACCUUCCUUUCCUGCCAUACCACCCCUACCUGCUCCGCCUGCCCUACCUGCUCUACCUGCCCUGCCUGCUCCACCUGCCCUACCAGCCCUACCAGCCCUACCUUCUUUAGUACCUUUCCUAACUUCCCUACUUGGAAGGAAAUAAAAAUGGGAGUUAAAACAGAA